rnacentral:tRNA from 1 species
GGGCCCGUAGCUCAGCUUGGUUAGAGCGACAGGCUCAUACUCCCCGGUUGAUGGGAGACCUGCUGGUCGCCGGUUCAAGUCCGGCCGGGCCCA